UGAUAGGUCGGGUGUGUAAGCGCAGCGAUGCGUUGAGCUAACCGAUACUAAUGAACCGUGAGGCUUAACCUUACAACGCCGAAG
rnacentral:rRNA from 1 species